GACCCUUUGACCCUUAUUGCACCGCAAUGUCGGUGAUCGC
rnacentral:rRNA from 1 species